AGUGAACGCUGGCGGUAGGCCUAACACAUGCAAGUCGAACGGCAGCACAGUAAGAGCUUGCUCUUACGGGUGGCGAGUGGCGGACGGGUGAGGAAUACAUCGGAAUCUACUUUUUCGUGGGGGAUAACGUAGGGAAACUUACGCUAAUACCGCAUACGACCUACGGGUGAAAGCAGGGGAUCUUCGGACCUUGCGCGAUUGAAUGAGCCGUGGUCGAUUAGCUAGUUGGCGGGGGAAAGGCCCACCAAGGCCACGAUCCGUAGCUGGUCUGAGAGGAUGAUCAGCCACACUGGAACUGAGACACGGUCCAGACUCCUACGGGAGGCAGCAGUGGGGAAUAUUGGACAAAGGGCGCAAGCCUGAUCCAGCCAUACCGCGUGGGUGAAGAAGGCUUUCGGGUUGUAAAGCCCUUUUGUUGGGAAAGAAAAGCAGCAGGUUAAUACCCCGCUGUUCUGACGGUACCCAAAGAAUAAGCACCGGCUAACUUCGUG
rnacentral:rRNA from 1 species